AUUGAACGCUGGCGGCAGGCCUAACACAUGCAAGUCGAGCGGAGCGGCGGACGGGUGAGUAAUGCCUAGGAAUCUGGCUGGUAGUGGGGGAUAACGUCCGGAAACGGGCGCUCAUACCGCAUACUAUCAGAUGAGCCUAGGUCGUAUGAGCUAGAUGGUGUGGUAAAGGCCUAUAAAGGCGACGAUCCGUAACUGGUCUGAGAGGAUGAUCAGUAACACUGGAAAUGAGACCCGGUCUAGACGCCUAAGGGAGGCAGAAGGGGGGAAUAUUGGACAAUGGGCGAACGCCUGUUACAGCCAUGCCGCGUGUGUGAAGAAGGUCUUCGGAUUGUAAAGCACUUUAAGUUGGGAGGCGUUACCAACAGAAUAAGCACCGGCUAACUUCGUGCCAGCCGCCGCGGUAAUAC
rnacentral:rRNA from 1 species